AGCGAACGUUUGCGGCGGGCUUAACACAUGCAAGUCGAACGAGAAUCCCUUCGGGGAGGAAAGUGGCGCACGGGUGCGUAACACGUGGAUAACCAACCCAUUGGUUUGGGACAACACCGGGGAACUGGUGCUAAUACCAGAUGUGUCGCAGCUGUCUUCAGGCGGUUGCGAGAAAGGCCCGCAAGGGUCGCCAACGGACGGGUCCGCGUCCCAUCAGCUAGUUGGUGAGGUAAUGGCUCACCAAGGCAAAGACGGGUAGCUGGUCUGAGAGGAUGAUCAGCCACACUGGAACUGAGACACGGUCCAGACUCCUACGGGAGGCAGCAGUGGGGAAUAUUGCGCAAUGGGCGAAAGCCUGACGCAGCCACGCCGCGUGAGCGAUGAAGGUCUUCGGAUCGUAAAGCUCUGUGGGGGGAGAAGAAGAAAGCCUGUGAAGAGCCGGCCCUGACGGUAUCCCCUUAGCAAGCACCGGCUAACUCCGUGCCAGCAGCCGCGGUAA
rnacentral:rRNA from 1 species